rnacentral:rRNA from 1 species
UACGAAGGGGGCUAGCGUUGCUCGGAUUGACUGGGCGUAAAGGGCGCGUAGGCGGUUCGUACAGUCAGACGUGAAAUUCCUGGGCUCAACCUGGGGGCUGCGUUUGAUACGUGCGGACUUGAGUGCGGAAGAGGGUCGUGGAAUUCCCAGUGUAGAGGUGAAAUUCGUAGAUAUUGGGAAGAACACCAGUGGCGAAGGCGGCUAUCUGGACGGUUUCUGACGCUAAGACGCGAAAGCGUGGGGAGCAAACGGG